AAAAUGUGCUUUGAUACGCAGUUGGUGUCUUAUUAAAAGAAAUCUAGUGACUUAAACAGUAUGGGAUCAUAAAUAUACAAGCUUACAGAAGAUAGGGCCUUUCAAAUGAAGGAGAGUAAGAAAAGUGAUUGGGGUAUUCCAAGAAGUGAGGAAUCCUGUCGUGUGUGGAAUUCAAGAUAUCGACCAACUAUUCCCACAAGAAGAAGGAUUUUCCUACAGGAUAAUAUGGACGUGUGGCAAUAUAAAUCCAAAGGACAAACGAGGCCAGUUAAAAGCCACUCUCCUGUACGUUCAGUCUACAUUGUUUGCUCACAAAAAGAUUCAAACCAAUAUACAUACUAAGGAAAAACUCUGCUUAGGAAAUUAAACUUAG